AUGAAUCUGUUAAGUUGGAACUGCCGGGGUGGGGGGGACCGCCGGACAGUUUGUGUGGUCUGGGUCCUAUCAAAUGCCAAUUCCCCCAAGCUUUUCUUUUUAUGUGAGAAGAGACAAGCUGCUGUUAAAGUUGAAAAGUUAAAGUGGAGACUUGGUCUCAAGGGAUUUGGUGUGGACAGUGUUGGAAGGAGUGGUGGUCUCGCUCUUUUCUCGGAUGAGGCCCUGACUGUGACUAUCCUGGAUUCAUGUGAGCGGUACAUUGAUGUAAUGGUGGUGGUUGGAAGCACGGGUGUGAGUUGGAGUGGCAGGUUUGUCUAUGGAUAA
rnacentral:rRNA from 1 species